CUACGGGAGGCAGCAGUGGGGAAUAAUUCACAAUGGGGGCAACCCUGAUGGUGCAACGCCGCGUGGAGGAUGACGGUCUUCGGAUUGUAAACUCCUGCCAUCUGGGAGAAAGACCUGACGGUAAAUAGCCGGCAGGGUUGAUAGUACCAGAAGAGGAAGGGACGGCUAACUUCGUGCCAGCAGCCGCGGUAAUACGAAGGUCCCGAGCGUUGUUCGGAAUCACUGGGCGUAAAGGGAGCGUAGGCGGCGCGGUAAGUCGGAUGUGAAAUCCCGGGGCUCAACCCCGGAACUGCAUCUGAUACUGCCGUGCUAGAGUAAUGGAGAGGUAGCUGGAAUUAUCGGUGUAGCAGUGAAAUGCGUAGAUAUCGAUAGGAACACUCGUGGCGAAAGCGAGCUACUGGACAUUUACUGACGCUGAGGCUCGAAGGCUAGGGUAGCGAAAGGGAUUAGAAACCCCGGUAGUCCG
rnacentral:rRNA from 1 species